GACGAACGCUGGCGGCGUGCUUAACACAUGCAAGUCGAGCGGAAAGGCCUGCUUUCCCUUGUGGAUUGCGGGUACUCGAGUGGCGAACGGGUGAGUAACACGUGAGUGAUCUGCCCCCAACUUGGGUAUAAGCCUGGGAAACUGGGUCUAAUUCCCGAUAGGACUGCAGGGUGGUGCCUGUGGUGGAAAACGAUUUUCUAGUGGUUGGGGAUGAGCUCGCGGCCUAUCAGCUUGUUGGUGGGGUAAUGGCCUACCAAGGCGGCGACGGGUAGCCGGCCUGAGAGGGUGGACGGCCACAUUGGGACUGAGAUACGGCCCAGACUCCUACGGGAGGCAGCAGUGGGGAAUAUUGCACAAUGGGCGGAAGCCUGAUGCAGCGACGCCGCGUGGGGGAUGACGGCCUUCGGGUGGUAAACUCCUUUCGACCGCGAGGAAGCCACCUGGUUGGAAGGGUGGUGACGGUAGUGGUAGAAGAAGCACCGGCUAACUACGUG
rnacentral:rRNA from 1 species